rnacentral:lncRNA from 1 species
CAGAUCCAGAGCUAAAUUAUCCUGGGCGGCCUUCAGUUUCUUUAAUAGACACUUUUGUGUCUGACCUAACAUCUUUGCAACUGUAAGGCAAACCCUUUUGAAUAGUAGUAUGGUUGCUUGAUCCAGUAAUCCCAGCACGUGAAGGGUGGAAGCAAGAACUUCAGGAGCUCAAGGUCAUUGUCCAUCACAGAGUCGGAAACUCCGUGAAAUGGUUCCCGAGUUGGGAUAUGCUACUUGAGACAACCUAAACUUGUGCUCGGCGGCAGGGUCACGCAUAUUUGGCCCAGGAAUAAACUCUUCUUUUGAU